UGGGAGCAAUCGCAGGCAGCCA
rnacentral:siRNA from 1 species